rnacentral:lncRNA from 1 species
CUGGGCCAAGUUCAGGGCUGGUGCUCUCGUUCAGAUAGAUUUAGCUGGUGGUGCAGAGAUCCGUGAGCUUGCUUUUACAGGACUUUAAUGAUAUAUAAAAGCAGCACGAGGUGCUCCUGACUGUGGAUUAAUUUGGAGAUGACUUUCUCUGUUGAAGAGUAGCAAGACUCUCGCGAGUUCUUAAAAAUGCACUUGUUUGGUAUGAGAAUGAAAAGCAGUGGCUGAAGAACCAAUCUUCAAUGGGCAAGCCUUCUCUGAACUGGUUGCUGCCUCGUUGAGUCGGUGGGGACAGAAUAGCUCCUGGUUGACAGCAUGGGUUGUGCAGAAGGACGGAUCCUGCAGACAUCAAUAUCUGGCUUUGAGUGGCACAAAGAAAUAAAGGAAUGUGGAUUCAGACCUCACUGGGAUGCUUGGCAAUUCUAAUUCUACCCCAGACUGCAAAUGGACACACAACUGUUGUGACUUUUGUUGAAGAGGAGAAGGAUGGUGAAGGUCUCUUUAGUCAAUAAUCUCUUUGCUGAAAUUGCUUCGGGCAGCACAGAAGCUGGAUUCAGAAGCACACAGGUCUGGGGAUGCAGGCUUCGGCCAGCCUGAUGCAAGGAAAGACUGCCAUCUCGUGGUCAGCUCAAUCCUGGCACCUUGGUGAGGGACCAGGCUGCAGAAAACCAGGCUUGGGGAGGAAACGGUGCUGCAAACUGGAUUUCUGCCGGACAGUGUGGAUGCCCUUAGAAAACACCCAGAAAAGAGCUGAGUGCCCCCCAAGACUUGCCCUGAAUUCUUUCAUGUGCAAUAUCCGAAAACCCUCUCUUGGGGCCUGGAUCAGGACCCCUUUCCUAUAACAUCUUUCUGGCGACAACAAAGGGACAAUGGUGUGGAAUCCCCCUUCCCAAAUGCUACUUUUAGAUAUCACCUUUUGUCGGAACUUGGAGUUGGUAAUGACCUUCACCAUACCACCACUCUGGGACUGAGCUUCUCUCUACCCUGAUGCAAGAGACCCUAAUAGGCAGGAAUAUGACCACCCCUAUUCAGCCUGAAGAAGUUACAGAAGUUCUGAAACCCUUAGAAAUGAGGGUCUUCUUGUAAAGGGAGUGGGGAGAUAUAUCAGAGGCAUUUGAACCAGAGCAACUCCAUCUUGAGUGAGGGCUAGGAAAAUGAGGCUAGGACUUGCUGGGCUGCAUUCUCAGAAAGUCAGUCAUUCCUAGCCUCUAGAUGUUUACGGUUAAGGGAACAAAUUUAUAACAUUUACUAAACACACCCAGACUUGGGAGUGUCCAGAUAUCCCAAUAUCUGGAGAACAAAGGCAUUCCUAAUUUUGCUUUAAAGACAAUAAUAUUGAUUCUUGCAAAAUAUAGUAAUUAAGAAAAUUAAUCCUUUAUCACAAACCCUUGUAGUAAAACACAUCUCCCCAUAUAUACAAGCAUUGUACCUAAGGUGGAUGCGUUCCAUCUCUUACUUUCAGGAAUGUCCUACACUAUCUAAGGAGUAGCUGUACUUUCACCACUUUACUUUCUUAAUAAACUUGUUUUUACUUUGCA